UACAGAGGGUGCAAGCGUUAAUCGGAAUUACUGGGCGUAAAGCGUGCGUAGUCGGUUAUUUAAGUCGGGUGUGAAAGCCCCGGGCUCAACCUGGGAAUUGCAUUCGAUACUGGAUAGCUAGAGUUCGGCGGAGGGAAGCGGAAUUUCCGGUGUAGCGGUGAAAUGCGUAGAUAUCGGAAGGAACAUCAGUGGCGAAAGCGGCUUCCUGGACCAGAACUGACGAUCAGGCACGAAAGCGUGGGGAGCAAACAGG
rnacentral:rRNA from 1 species